UGUUGGUGGGGUAAUGGCUCACCAAGGCGACGAUCCCUAGCUGGUCUGAGAGGAUGAUCAGCCACACUGGAACUGAGACACGGUCCAGACUCCUACGGGAGGCAGCAGUGGGGAAUAUUGCACAAUGGGCGAAAGCCUGAUGCAGCCAUGCCGCGUGUAUGAAGAAGGCCUUCGGGUUGUAAAGUACUUUCAGUUGUGAGGAAGGGUGUGUAGUUAAUAGCUGCAUAUCUUGACGUUAGCAACAGAAGAAGCACCGGCUAACUCCGUGCCAGCAGCCGCGGUAAUACGGAGGGUGCGAGCGUUAAUCGGAUUUACUGGA
rnacentral:rRNA from 1 species